rnacentral:rRNA from 1 species
UACAGAGGUCUCAAGCGUUGUUCGGAUUCAUUGGGCGUAAAGGGUGUGUAGGUGGCGCCGUAAGUCAGGCGUGAAAUUUCGGAGCUCAACUCCGAAACUGCAUUUGAUACUGCGGUGCUUGAGGACUGGAGAGGAGACUGGAAUUUACGGUGUAGCAGUGAAAUGCGUUGAUAUCGGAAGGAAUGCCAAAAGCGAAAGCAGCUAUCUAUAAAGUAUCUGACGGUCAGGGACGACAGCUUGGGGAGCAAACGGG